rnacentral:rRNA from 1 species
UGCAGUCGANCGGUAACAGGAAGAAGCUUGCUUCUUUGCUGACGAGUGGCGGACGGGUGAGUAAUGCUUGGGAAUUUGCCUUGAGGUGGGGGACAACAGUUGGAAACGACUGCUAAUACCGCAUAAUUGCUACGGCACAAAGGGGGCUUCGGCUCUCGCCUUUAGAGAAGCCCAAGUGGGAUUAGAUAGUUGGUGGGGUAACGGCCUACCAAGUCAACGAUCCCUAGCUGGUCUGAGAGGAUGAUCAGCCACACUGGAACUGAGACACGGUCCAGACUCCUACGGGAGGCAGCAGUGGGGAAUAUUGCACAAUGGGGGAAACCCUGAUGCAGCCAUGCCGCGUGUGUGAAGAAGGCCUUCGGGUUGUGAAGCACUUUCAGCGAGGAGGAAGGGUUAGUAGUUAAUACCUGCUAGCUUUGACGUUACUCGCAGAAGAAGCACCGGCUAACUCCGUGCCAGCAGCCGCGGUAAUACGGAGGGUGCGAGCGUUAAUCGGAAUUACUGGGCGUAAAGCGUACGCAGGCGGUCAUUUAAGUCAGAUGUGAAAGCCCCGGGCUCAACCUGGGAACUGCAUUUGAAACCGGAUGACUAGAGUGCGACAGAGGGUAGUAGAAUUUCAGGUGUAGCGGUGAAAUGCGUAGAGAUCUGAAGGAAUACCGAUGGCGAAGGCAGCCACCUGGGUCGACACUGACGCUCAUGUACGAAAGCGUGGGUAGCAAACAGGAUUAGAUACCCUGGUAGUCCACGCCGUAAACGAUGUCUACUAGCAGCUCGCCUCGUUUAGAGGGGUUUUGCGCAGCUAACGCGUUAAGUANACCGCCUGGGGAGUANNNCCGCAAGGUUAAAACUCAAAUGAAUUGACGGGGGCCCGCACAAGCGGUGGANCAUGUNGUUUAAUUCGA